CCAGCAGCCGCGGUAAUUCCAGCUCCAAUAGCGUAUAUUAAAGUUGUUGCAGUUAAAAAGCUCGUAGUUGGAUUUCGGGGCAGGAGGUCUGGUCCGCCGAAAGGCAGGUACUGGACGCCAGCCCUUUUUCUCGGAGGCCCCGUCUGCUCUUCACUGAGUGGUAGGGGAGUUCGGGACGUUUACUUUGAAAAAAUUAGAGUGUUCAAGGCAGGCCGUCGCUUGGAUACGUUAGCAUGGAAUAAUGGAAUAGGACUUCGGUUCUAUUUCGUUGGUUUCUGGGACCGAAGUAAUGAUUAAGAGGGACAGUUGGGGGCAUUCGUAUUCAAUUGUCAGAGGUGAAAUUCUCGGAUUUAUGGAAGACGAACAACUGCGAAAGCAUUUGCCAAGGAUGUUUUCAUUAAUCAAGAACGAAAGUUGGGGGUUCGAAGACGAUCAGAUACCGUCGUAGUCCCAACCAUAAACUAUGCCGACUAGGGAUCGGCGGACGUUAGCGAGUGACUCCGUCGGCACCUUAUGAGAAAUCAAAGUCUUUGGGUUCCGGGGGGAGUAUGGUCGCAAGGCUGAAACUUAAAGGAAUUGACGGAAGGGCACCACCAGGAGUGGAGCCUG
rnacentral:rRNA from 1 species